rnacentral:rRNA from 1 species
AUUGAACGCUGGCGGCAUGCUUUACACAUGCAAGUCGAACGGUAACAGGGAGCUUGCUCCGCUGACGAGUGGCGAACGGGUGAGUAAUGCGUCGGAACGUGCCGAGUAGUGGGGGAUAACGCAGCGAAAGUUGUGCUAAUACCGCAUACGUACUGAGGUAGAAAGUGGGGGACCUUCGGGCCUCACGCCAUUCGAGCGGCCGACGUCUGAUUAGCUAGUAGGUGAGGUAAAGGCUCACCUAGGCGACGAUCAGUAGCGGGUCUGAGAGGAUGAUCCGCCACACUGGGACGGGGACACGGCCCAGAGUCCUACGGGAGGCGGCAGGGGGGAAUUUUGGACAAUGGGCGAAAGCCUGAUCCAGCCAUGCCGCGUGUCUGAAGAAGGCCUUCGGGUUGUAAAGGACUUUUGUCGGGGAGGAAAUCCCCAGCGCUAAUACCGCUGGGGGAUGACAGUACCUGAAGAAUAAGCACCGGCUAACUACGUGCCAGCCGCCGCCGUAACAC